rnacentral:rRNA from 1 species
UACGUAGGGGGCAAGCGUUGUCCGGCUUUAUUGGGCGUAAAGAGCGUGUAGGCGGCCAUGCAGGUCCGCUGUGAAAACUCGAGGCUCAACCUCGAGACGUCGGUGGAAACCGCAUGGCUAGAGUCCGGAAGAGGAGAGUGGAAUUCCCGGUGUAGCGGUGAAAUGCGCAGAUAUCGGGAAGAACACCCGUGGCGAAGGCGGCUCUCUGGGACGGUACUGACGCUGAGACGCGAAAGCGUGGGGAGCGAACAGG